rnacentral:rRNA from 1 species
AAAGGGUGCGUAGGCGGUUUAUUAAGUCAGUGGUGAAAGACGGUCGCUCAACGAUUGCAGUGCCAUUGAUACUGGUAGACUUGAGUGAGAUUGAGGUAGCUGGAAUGGAUAGUGUAGCGGUGAAAUGCAUAGAUAUUAUCCAGAACACCAAUUGCGUAGGCAAGUUACUAAGUCUCAACUGACGCUGAGGCACGAAAGUGUGGGUAUCAAACAGGAUUAGAUACCCGGGU